AUUGAACGCUGGCGGCAGGCCUAACACAUGCAAGUCGAGCGGAUGACGGGAGCUUGCUUCUUGAUUCAGCGGCGGACGGGUGAGUAAUGCCUAGGAAUCUGCCUGGUAGUGGGGGGCAACGUUUCGAAAGGAAAGCUAAUCCCGCAUACGUCCUUAGGGAGAAAGCAGGGGACCGUAGGGCCUUGCGCUAUCAGAUGAGCCUAGGUCGGAUUAGCUAGUUGGUGGGGUAAUGGCUCUCCAAGGAGACGAUCCGUAACUGGUCUGAGAGGAUGGACAGGCACACUGGAACUGAGACACGGUCGACACUCCGACGGUGGGCAGCAGUGGGGAAUAUUGGACAAUGGAGGAGAGCCUGAUCCAGCCAUGCCGCGUGUGUGAAGAAGGUCUUCGGAUUGUAAAGCACUUUAAGUUGGGAGGAAGUGCAGUAAGUUAAUACCUUGCUGUUUUGACGGUACCGACAGAAUAAGCACCGGCUAACUCUGUGCCAGCCGCCGCCGUAA
rnacentral:rRNA from 1 species